AUUAUACCGUGAAACUGCGAAUGGCUCAUUAAAUCAGUUAUCGUUUAUUUGAUAGUACCUUACUACUUGGAUAACCGUGGUAAUUCUAGAGCUAAUACAUGCUAAAAACCCCAACUUCGGGAGGGGUGUAUUUAUUAGAUAAAAAACCAAUGCCCUUCGGGGCUCCUUGGUGAUUCAUAAUAACUUAACGGAUCGCAUGGCCUUGAGCCGGCGACGGUUCAUUCAAAUUUCUGCCCUAUCAACUUUCGAUGGUAAGGUAUUGGCUUACCAUGGUUUCAACGGGUAACGGGGAAUUAGGGUUCGAUUCCGGAGAGGGAGCCUGAGAAACGGCUACCACAUCCAAGGAAGGCAGCAGGCGCGCAAAUUACCCAAUCCCGACACGGGGAGGUAGUGACAAUAAAUACUGAUACAGGGCUCUUUUGGGUCUUGUAAUCGGAAUGAGUACAAUUUAAACCCCUUAACGAGGAACAAUUGGAGGGCAAGUCUGGUGCCAGCAGCCGCGGUAAUUCCAGCUCCAAUAGCGUAUAUUAAAGUUGUUGCAGUUAAAAAGCUCGUAGUUGAACCUUGGGCCUGGCUGGCCGGUCCGCCUCACCGCGUGUACUGGUCCGGCCGGGCCUUUCCUUCUGGAGAUCCUCAUGCCCUUCACUGGGUGUGUUGGGGAACCAGGACUUUUACUGUGAACAAAUUAGAGUGUUCAAAGCAGGCCUUUGCUCGAAUACAUUAGCAUGGAAUAAUAGAAUAGGACGUGCGGUCCUAUUUUGUUGGUUUCUAGGACCGCCGUAAUGAUUAAUAGGGAUAGUCGGGGGCAUCAGUAUUCAAUUGUCAGAGGUGAAAUUCUUGGAUUUAUUGAAGACUAACUACUGCGAAAGCAUUUGCCAAGGAUGUUUUCAUUAAUCAGUGAACGAAAGUUAGGGGAUCGAAGACGAUCAGAUACCGUCGUAGUCUUAACCGUAAACUAUGCCGACUAGGGAUCGGGCGAUGUUUCUAUCUUGACUCGCUCGGCACCUUACGAGAAA
rnacentral:rRNA from 2 species